CCUACGGGUGGCUGCAGUGGGGAAUAUUGGACAAUGGGCGAAAGCCUGAUCCAGCCAUGCCGCGUGUGUGAAGAAGGCCUUCGGGUUGUAAAGCACUUUCAGUGGGGAAGAAAGCCUUGGGGCUAAUACCCUCGAGGAAGGACAUCACCCACAGAAGAAGCACCAGCUAACUCCGUGCCAGCAGCCGCGGUAAUACGGAGGGUGCGAGCGUUAAUCGGAAUUACUGGGCGUAAAGCGCGCGUAGGCGGUCUGAUAAGCCGGUUGUGAAAGCCCCGGGCUCAACCUGGGAACGGCAUCCGGAACUGUCAGGCUAGAGUGCAGGAGAGGAAGGUAGAAUUCCCGGUGUAGCGGUGAAAUGCGUAGAGAUCGGGAGGAAUACCAGUGGCGAAGGCGGCCUUCUGGACUGACACUGACGCUGAGGUGCGAAAGCGUGGGUAGCAAACAGGAUUAGAUACCCCUGUAGUC
rnacentral:rRNA from 1 species